GCCUAACACAUGCAAGUCGAACGGUAACAGGAAGAAGCUUGCUUCUUUGCUGACGGGUGGCGGACGGGUGAGUAAUGUCUGGGAAACUGCCUGAUGGAGGGGGAUAACUACUGGAAACGGUAGCUAAUACCGCAUAACGUCGCAAGACCAAAGAGGGGGACCUUCGGGCCUCUUGCCAUCGGAUGUGCCCAGAUGGGAUUAGCUAGUAGGUGGGGUAACGGCUCACCUAGGCGACGAUCCCUAGCUGGUCUGAGAGGAUGACCAGCCACACUGGAACUGAGACACGGUCCAGACUCCUACGGGAGGCAGCAGUGGGGAAUAUUGCACAAUGGGCGCAAGCCUGAUGCAGCCAUGCCGCGUGUAUGAAGAAGGCCUUCGGGUUGUAAAGUACUUUCAGCGGGGAGGAAGGGAGUAAAGUUAAUACCUUUGCUCAUUGACGUUACCCGCAGAAGAAGCACCGGCUAACUCCGUGCCAGCAGCCGCGGUAAUACGGAGGGUGCAAGCGUUAAUCGGAAUUACUGGGCGUAAAGCGCACGCAGGCGGUUUGUUAAGUCAGAUGUGAAAUCCCCGGGCUCAACCUGGGAACUGCAUCUGAUACUGGCAAGCUUGAGUCUCGUA
rnacentral:rRNA from 1 species